rnacentral:rRNA from 1 species
UACGAAGGGGGCUAGCGUUGCUCGGAAUGACUGGGCGUAAAGGGCGCGUAGGCGGAUGACACAGUCAGAUGUGAAAUUCCCGGGCUUAACCUGGGGGCUGCAUUUGAUACGUGUUGUCUAGAGUGAGGAAGAGGGUUGUGGAAUUCCCAGUGUAGAGGUGAAAUUCGUAGAUAUCGGGAGGAACACCGGUGGCGAAGGCGGCCUACUGGACAGCGCCUGACACUGAGACGCGAAAGCGUGGGUAGCAAACAGG